rnacentral:rRNA from 1 species
UACGUAGGGUGCAAGCGUUGUCCGGAAUUAUUGGGCGUAAAGCGCUUGUAGGCGGUUUGUCGCGUCUGCUGUGAAAUUUCGGGGCUCAACCCCGAACUUGCAGUGGGUACGGGUAGACUAGAGUGUGGUAGGGGAGACUGGAAUUCCUGGUGUAGCGGUGAAAUGCGCAGAUAUCGGGAAGAACACCCGUGGCGAAGGCGGUUCUCUGGGACGGUACUGACGCUGAGACGCGAAAGCGUGGGGAGCGAACAGG